rnacentral:rRNA from 1 species
AUUGAACGCUGGCGGCAGGCCUAACACAUGCAAGUCGAGCGGAUGAAGGGAGCUUGCUCCUGGAUUCAGCGGCGGACGGGUGAGUAAUGCCUAGGAAUCUGCCUGGUAGUGGGGGAUAACGUCCGGAAACGGGCGCUAAUACCGCAUAUGUCCUGAGGGAGAAAGUGGGGGAUCUUCGGACCUCACGCUAUCAGAUGAGCCUAGGUCGGAUUAGCUAGUUGGUGGGGUAAAGGCCUACCAAGGCGACGAUCCGUAACUGGUCUGAGAGGAUGAUCAGUCACACUGGAACUGAGACACGGUCCAGACUCCUACGGGAGGCAGCAGUGGGGAAUAUUGGACAAUGGGCGAAAGCCUGAUCCAGCCAUGCCGCGUGUGUGAAGAAGGUCUUCGGAUUGUAAAGCACUUUAAGUUGGGAGGAAGGGCGGUAAGUUAAUACCUUGCUGUUUUGACGUUACCAACAGAAUAAGCACCGGCUAACUUCGUG